UGGGGAAUAUUGCGCAAUGGGCGAAAGCCUGACGCAGCGACGCCGCGUGAGGGAUUAAGGUUUUCGGAUCGUAAACCUCUGUCAGAAGGGAAGAAACCGCACUGUGCUAAUCAGCAGUGCCUUGACGGUACCUUCAAAGGAAGCACCGGCUAACUCCGUGCCAGCAGCCGCGGUAAUACGGAGGGUGCAAGCGUUAAUCGGAAUUACUGGGCGUAAAGCGCACGUAGGCUGCUUUGUAAGUCAGGGGUGAAAUCCCACGGCUCAACCGUGGAACUGCCUUUGAUACUGCUUAGCUUGAAUCCGGGAGAGGGUGGCGGAAUUCCAGGUGUAGGAGUGAAAUCCGUAGAUAUCUGGAGGAACAUCAGUGGCGAAGGCGGCCACCUGGACCGGUAUUGACGCUGAGGUGCGAAAGCGUGGGGAGCAAACAGG
rnacentral:rRNA from 1 species